CAGGAGGCCCCAGAAGGCUGCAGGAGAGAAGAUCUGCAGGUGGAGAAAAAAUAGCCUCUGAUUACCCAAAUGAAUGAAUCUCAAGACAGAGGCCUGCAGCUGUCUCAAGAUUGUUGCUGCUGCACAUAAAUUUCAGGAUUAUGAUCUGCAUAAUGGAUCCCAGAAAUGAGAAGAAAGCAAGGAGAAAGAUCAGAAGCUUUGAAAAUACCAGUAGAAAAAAUGGAGGGAACUGCAGUGACUUAACCUAGAGAAAACAACAGUAGGUGUUCACACCAUACCAUGGUGUGGGUCUUCAGACAGAGAAAAGGAAAAUGCAAAGGCAAUGUACUGCUUUCUGAAU